AUUACGUAAAAUGACUCUCGGCAACGGAUAUCUCGGCUCUUGCAUCGAUGAAGAACGUAGCGAAAUGCGAUACUUGGUGUGAAUUGCAGAAUCCCGUGAACCAUCGAGUCUUUGAACGCAAGUUGCGCCCAAAGCCAUUAGGUUGAGGGCACGCCUGCCUGGGUGUCACAC
rnacentral:rRNA from 2 species